AUACGUAGGGGGCAAGCGUUGUCCGGAAUGAUUGGGCGUAAAGGGCGCGUAGGCGGCCUGGUAAGUCUGGAGUGAAAGUCCUGCUUUUAAGGUGGGAAUUGCUUUGGAUACUGUCGGGCUUGAGUGCAGGAGAGGUAAGUGGAAUUCCCGGUGUAGCGGUGAAAUGCGUAGAUAUAAGGAAGAACACCAGUGGCGAAGGCGGAUUACUGGACGACAACUGACGGUGAGGCGCGAAAGCGUGGGGAGC
rnacentral:rRNA from 1 species